CUCAAGAGCGGCUGGGUACUUUCUACAUCCGUGAAUAAUUAAAUUACGCCAAUGGAAAUUCGUUUUCCUUCGUAACGAAAGCAUCUCGCAUCCCUUCUAAAAAUACACGGAAGAACGGUACCGGAGGAGCGGAACAACUCCAGGCGGUUUUUUUUUCCCCACCGAGCAGACGAUGCCGAGGCAACAUAACCCCGAGCGUUUUCCAACUAUAUGCACCCGAUUACCAGGAACAAGACCGGCGUUUCUUGUUUCCACCGCAGAGAGAACGAGCGUGUUCCGGCUCUGACCGAUGAUGACGACGGGGCCAUCUCGCCGGGUAUCUGGACUCCUCCUCGAUCCCAGAGACGAAGGUAACAGCUAACGCGGGACGGUAACCAGACGCACGACUUCGUCAGCUACUUCUUAGCCCGGUGCAAAUUGCAAUAAUCUCCUCGGUUUCGAGAUAUUGCGAGACGUUCGAGGACUGUUUAUCAGCAUCCACGGACGAUGGCGAACAUGGUCUCGGGAACUUGAUUGCAGGGUAGGAGAUGACCAUUCGAAGAACCCGAAGGGAUGGGAGAGUGAUCUGUUAACCGACGGUGGAAGCCAGACUGUUUUAGACGUUCCACGGACGACCUAUCUUUGGUGACGAUGAACAAAGAAACUCGGGUACCAUUUCGAUCCUUCAUGAGGAUUCCCAUCGAGGGAUGGAAGAAAAUCACUGGACAUGUUGGAGUCCGAGGAAGAGAAAAGUGUACCAAUUUCAGACUUUCGAUGGACGGUUUGUUAUAGAUUAUAAAGACUCUGUUGGAGGAAAUAACUACUCUUCAGUUGGUCCAUGUCGGAGUUCACGAGAGAGGAAACUGAAGCCAUAUAACAUAGAAUAUUAAAUUUCAAACAUUCGACAAGCAGUUUGUUGAAUUUAGA